UACGUAGGGUGCAAGCGUUAAUCGGAAUUACUGGGCGUAAAGCGUGCGCAGGCGGUGAUGUAAGACAGGUGUGAAAUCCCCGGGCUUAACCUGGGAACUGCAUUUGUGACUGCAUCGCUAGAGUAUGGCAGAGGGGGGUGGAAUUCCACGUGUAGCAGUGAAAUGCGUAGAGAUGUGGAGGAACACCGGAUGGCGCAAGCAGCCCCCUGGGACCGAU
rnacentral:rRNA from 1 species